rnacentral:rRNA from 1 species
UACGUAGGGUGCAAGCGUUGUCCGGAAUUAUUGGGCGUAAAGAGCUCGUAGGCGGUCUGUCGCGUCGGCUGUGAAAACCCGGGGCUCAACCCCGGACUUGCAGUGGGUACGGGCAGACUAGAGUGUGGUAGGGGAGACUGGAAUUCCUGGUGUAGCGGUGGAAUGCGCAGAUAUCAGGAGGAACACCGAUGGCGAAGGCAGGUCUCUGGGCCACUACUGACGCUGAGAAGCGAAAGCAUGGGGAGCGAACAGG